UACAGAGGUCUCAAGCGUUGUUCGGAUUCAUUGCGCGUAAAGGGUGCGUAGGCGGCGCGGUAAGUCGGGUGUGAAAUCUCGGAGCUUAACUCCGAAACUGCAUUCGAUACUGCCGUGCUUGAGGACUGGAAAGGAGACUGGAAUUUACGGUGUAGCGGUGAAAUGCGUAGAUAUCGUAAGGAAGACCAGUGGCGAAGGCGGGUCUCUGGACAGUUCCUGACACUGAGACACGAAGGCCAGGGGAGCAAACGGG
rnacentral:rRNA from 1 species